GACGAACGCUGGCGGCGUGCUUAACACAUGCAAGUCGAACGGUAAGGCUCCAGCUUGCUGGGGUACACGAGUGGCGAACGGGUGAGUAACACGUGGGUGACCUGCCCUGCACUUCGGGAUAAGCCUGGGAAACUGGGUCUAAUACCGGAUAGGACCGCACCGUGAGGGUGUGGUGGAAAGUUUUUUCGGUGUGGGAUGGGCCCGCGGCCUAUCAGCUUGUUGGUGGGGUAAUGGCCUACCAAGGCGGCGACGGGUAGCCGGCCUGAGAGGGUGGACGGCCACAUUGGGACUGAGACACGGCCCAGACUCCUACGGGAGGCAGCAGUGGGGAAUAUUGCACAAUGGGCGGAAGCCUGAUGCAGCGACGCCGCGUGGGGGAUGACGGCCUUCGGGUUGUAAACUCCUUUCACCAUCGACGAAGGGUUUCUGACGGUAGAUGGAGAAGAAGCACCGGCUAACUACGUGCCAGCAGCCGCGGUAAUACGUAGGGUGCGAGCGUUGUCCGGAAUUACUGGGCGUAAAGAGCUCGUAGGUGGUUUGUCGCGUCGUCUGUGAAAUUCCGGGGCUUAACUCCGGGCGUGCAGGCGAUACGGGCAUAACUUGAGUACUGUAGGGGAGACUGGAAUUCCUGGUGUAGCGGUGAAAUGCGCAGAUAUCAGGAGGAACACCGGUGGCGAAGGCGGGUCUCUGGGCAGUAACUGACGCUGAGGAGCGAAAGCAUGGGGAGCGAACAGGAUUAGAUACCCUGGUAGUCCAUGCCGUAAACGGUGGGCGCUAGGUGUGGGUUUCCUUCCACGGGAUCCGUGCCGUAGCUAACGCAUUAAGCGCCCCGCCUGGGGAGUACGGCCGCAAGGCUAAAACUCAAAGGAAUUGACGGGGGCCUGCACAAGCGGCGGAGCAUGUGGAUUAAUUCGAUGCAACGCGAAGAACCUUACCUGGGCUUGACAUAUACAGGAUCGCGCCAGAGAUGGUGUUUCCCUUGUGGCUUGUAUACAGGUGGUGCAUGGUUGUCGUCAGCUCGUGUCGUGAGAUGUUGGGUUAAGUCCCGCAACGAGCGCAACCCUUGUCUUAUGUUGCCAGCACGUUGUGGUGGGGACUCGUAAGAAACUGCCGGGGUUAACUCGGAGGAAGGUGGGGAUGACGUCAAAUCAUCAUGCCCCUUAUGUCCAGGGCUUCACACAUGCUACAAUGGUCGGUACAGUGGGUUGCCAGUCCGUGAGGGCGAGCUAAUCCCGCAAAGCCGGUCUCAGUUCGGAUCGGGGUCCGCAACUCGACCCCGUGAAGUCGGAGUCGCUAGUAAUCGCAGAUCAGCAACGCUGCGGUGAAUACGUUCCCGGGCCU
rnacentral:rRNA from 1 species